ACGUGUAGCUGUUUGACGGUACUAUACGAAUAAGGAUCGGCUAACUCCGUGCCAGCAGCCGCGGUAAUACGGAGGGUCCAAGCGUUAUCCGGAUUUAUUGGGUUUAAAGGGUCCGUAGGCGGGUUAUUAAGUCAGUGGUGAAAUCCUACAGCUCAACUGUAGAACUGCCAUUGAAACUGGUAACCUUGAGUAUAAUUGAAGUGGGCGGAAUGUGUCAUGUAGCGGUGAAAUGCUUAGAUAUGACACAGAACACCGAUUGCGAAGGCAGCUCACUAAGUUAUAACUGACGCUGAGGGACGAAAGCGUGGGUAGCGAACAGGAUUAGAUACCCUGGUAGUCCACGCCGUAAACGAUGAACACUCGUUGCUGGCGAUACACAGUCAGUGACCAAGCGAAAGUGUUAAGUGUACCACCUGGGGAGUACGCUCGCAAGAGUGAAACU
rnacentral:rRNA from 1 species